rnacentral:rRNA from 1 species
GGGGGGGGGGGGGGGGGGGCGGGGGAGGGGGGGGUCGGGCGGGCGGGCGAGGGGCUUGCUCCUCGGACGUUAGCGGCGGACGGGUGAGUGACACGUGGAUAGCCUCCCUAUAAGGCUGGGAUAACUUCGGGAAACCGGAGCUAAUCCCGGAUAAUAUAUUGAACCGCAUGGUUCAGUAGUGAAAGACGGUUUUGCUUUCACUUAUAGAUGGAUCCGCUCGGCAUUAGCUAGUUUUUACGGUAACGGGUUACCACGGCAAAGAUGAGUAGCCCGCCUGAGAGGGUGAGCGGCCACAAUGGAACUGAGACACGGUCAAGACUCAUACGGGAGGAAGCAGGAGGGAAUCUGCCGCAAUGGGCGAAAGCCUGACGGAGAAACGCCGCGUGAGUGAUGAAGGGCUUCGGAUCGUAAAACUCUGUUAUUAGGGAAGAACAAAUGUGUAAGUAACUAUGCACGUCUUGACGGUACCUAAUCAGAAAGACACGGCUAACUACGUG